rnacentral:rRNA from 1 species
GACCGGCGCACGGGUGCGUAACGCGUAUGCAAUCUACCUUUCACAGAGGGAUAGCCCAGAGAAAUUUGGAUUAAUACCUCAUAGUAUAAUGAGUUGGCAUCAACACAUUAUUAAAGUCACAACGGUGAAAGAUGAGCAUGCGUCCCAUUAGCUAGAUGGUAAGGUAACGGCUUACCAUGGCUACGAUGGGUAGGGGUCCUGAGAGGGAGAUCCCCCACACUGGUACUGAGACACGGACCAGACUCCUACGGGAGGCAGCAGUGAGGAAUAUUGGACAAUGGGCGCAAGCCUGAUCCAGCCAUGCCGCGUGCAGGAUGACGGUCCUAUGGAUUGUAAACUGCUUUUGUACAGGAAGAAACACUGGUUCGUGAACCAGCUUGACGGUACUGUAAGAAUAAGGAUCGGCUAACUCCGUGCCAGCAGCCGCGGUAAUACGGAGGAUCCAAGCGUUAUCCGGAAUCAUUGGGUUUAAAGGGUCCGUAGGCGGUUUAGUAAGUCAGUGGUGAAAGCCCAUCGCUCAACGGUGGAACGGCCAUUGAUACUGCUAAACUUGAAUUAUUAGGAAGUAACUAGAAUAUGUAGUGUAGCGGUGAAAUGCUUAGAGAUUACAUGGAAUACCAAUUGCGAAGGCAGGUUACUACUAAUGGAUUGACGCUGAUGGACGAAAGCGUGGGUAGCGAACAGGAUUAGAUACCCUGGUAGUCCACGCCGUAAACGAUGGAUACUAGCUG